UGUACGUGGUAUUUCCAUUUAUUUACCAAAAGAAUGAGAAUA
rnacentral:sRNA from 1 species